GGCGGAGCCAAUCGAGCGCCGCGCUCUCGGCGGUCUCCAGGGUAACAGCGGCCCGGCCGGUGCUGGCGCCGGUACCGGGGCCGGGCCGCCCCGUUGUCCCCAGGUCCCACCGAUCCCGCCGCUGCUCCCCGGGCCCCCCAUGGCCUCUCGCGACAGAGAUGCCAUUUCCUGGUACCAGAAGAAGAUCGGGGCCUACGACCAGCAGAUAUGGGAGAAAUCCAUCGAGCAGACCGAGAUGAAGGGUCUUAAAACCAAGCCUAGGAAGAAGGGCCACAUCCAGCCGGACCUGAUCGACGUGGAUCUGAUCAGAGGCUCUACGUUUGCCAAAGCCAAGCCUGAAAUUCCCUGGACGUCGCUAACUCGGAAGGGAAUUGUGCGAGUUGUGUUUUUUCCGUUAUUCAGCCAGUGGUGGAUACAGGUUACCUCCCAGCGUAUCUUUAUGUGGCUCCUGGUGCUCUACGUUAUGCAAGUCGUAGCUGUUGUGUUGUAUUUCACCAUCCCCGUGGUGAACGCGAGUGAAGUCGUGGGACCCAUGUGCCUUAUGUUACUGAUGGGAACUGUUCACUGUCAAAUCGUGUCCACCCAGAUGAACAAACCUUCAGCAAACAACGGGCUCAGCAGGCGGAGGAGGAAGUUACGCAAAUCUGUGGGUGUCGAUGGGAACAGUUGGUCUUCUCCCGACAAAAAUAGUAAAGAAGAGCAGUCUGAAGCUGCGUCCCCUCUUAACAAUGUAUUUAGUGUGCUUUUCCGAAGGAGGAUUAGAAGAGUAAAGUUGGUAGCUGAGAAAGGGACGGAGACAGAAAGUGGAGUGAAUGGUGUGAAUAACGGCAUCAAGCACAGACAGGCCAGAUCUGAACACAGACCGUUGCACUUCAAAGAGAAAAAUAAGCUUUCUGAUGGGGAAAAGAGCCAUCAGGACGGCUGCACCAACAGAGGUGCCGUUUCUGACGAGCUUUCGAGCGAGGAGGAUGCUGAAGUCACAGCACAAAGGAUCUUGUUACGCCAGAAUGUAGAAGGGGCUUCCAGUGACAAUAGCUAUGAAGAGAAGAAAAAGCGGCCUCUCGUUUCCCUGAACUACGCCGUCCCACAGGUCAAGCAAGUCCUGAAAGGUGCCAGAGACUCCGACAGCGUCGUGGAAUCGGAACUGGAAUCCGUGUUAUACAGUCAGGACAUGAGGUCCUGCGUGAGCGUGGGAGGCCGGAGCAGCGCGGGGAGCCGGCGGGACUCGGAGAGCACCCGCCACGACUCGGAGACAGAGGACAUGCUGUGGGACGACCUGCUGCACGGCCCCGAGUGCCGCUCGUCCUGCACCAGCGACAGCGAGGACACGACGGUGCGAGGAACCAGGCGGGAUCUGAAGGAAGACGUUUUCCAGCAGAACCAUUUGCUUUGGCUGCAGAAUACAAGCCCAGCAUCUGCAAAAGUGAGUGCGCUGAUCUGGGAAGGGAACGACUGUAAGAAGGUGGACAUGUCCGUGCUGGAGAUCAGCGGGAUUAUCAUGAGCAGGGUUAAUGCCUACCAGCAAGGAGUGGGCUAUCAGAUGCUGGGGAACGUCAUCACCAUUGCAUUAGCGUUCCUGCCGUUCCUCUACAGGCUCUUCCGCGCUGACAACCUGGAGCAGCUGUGCUCCAUUUCCCUGAAGGAGCUUUUGCACAUCUUUUGUGGGGCGCCUGCCAGCACCGCCGUCGUCGUUUUGUCUGUCAUCAACUUCCUUGAAAGACUUUGCUUAACCUGGAUGUUUUUCUUCAUGAUGUGUGUUGCUGAGAGAACGUACAAACAGAGGUUUUUGUUUGCCAAGCUUUUUAGUCACAUUACAUCUGCUCGGAAAGCCAGGAAAUACGAAAUUCCUCACUUCAGGCUGAAGAAAGUAGAAAACAUUAAGAUCUGGUUAUCCCUUCGUUCCUAUCUAAAGCGCCGAGGCCCCCAGCGAUCUGUGGAUGUUGUCGUAUCAUCCAUCUUUUUACUGGCUCUUUCAAUUGCUUUUAUAUGCUGCGCCCAGGUACUUAAGGGUCACAAAACAUUCCUGAGCGCAGCUCACAACUGGGAGUUCCUCAUCUGGGAGGCGGCGCUGCUUCUCUUUUUACUGCGUCUGGCAUCUUUGGGCUCUGAGACCAACAAGAAGUACAGUAACAUUUCCAUCUUGCUCACCGAGCAGAUCAACUUAUACCUGAAGAUGGAGAAGAAGCCGAACAAGAAAGAGCAGCUCUCUCUAGUGAACAAUGUUUUGAAACUGUCCACAAAGCUCCUGAAGGUAAAAGCUGCUCUGGGUAAAAACACACAGGUGCUGCAUUUUGGGUGAGCACUCAGGACAGCUGUGGUUUUGCUCUCCCCACUGGAUUGUCUGUCAGUGAGGAAUUAGACACUCCCUUCAGGCUGUACGGACUGACCAUGAAUCCGUUAAUCUACAAUAUCACACGUGUUGUAAUACUCUCCGCUGUCUCAGGCGUUGUAAGUGAUCUUCUAGGAUUCAACAUCAGACUCUGGAAAAUCAAACCGUGACCUGACCAAGGACAGACCAGAGAAGAGAACCGACACCUUGGGCAAAAAGCAGAGGUGCUCUCAAACUACGGAAAUCUGUAUUUAUGAUUUUUUUUUAAACAGAUUUCUCAGUGUAUGUUGCAGCAGUUCUCCCUCUGCUUUACUGUUCUACGACAAACGGGUUAAACUGGUCAAUGGGUGAAGUCAGGCCCUGGCACGGCCAUAAGGAAUUAACAGAAUUAACGGGGCCGAGUGCUGGUGGCCGCACUGGAACUGGCUGAACUGUGUGUGCUGGGGCAUCACCCACGAGAACCUGCGGGAGAGCGGCCUCAGUUCUGUAAAAUCAGAGCCCUGUGCGUGCAGGGAGUGAAGGGUCAGCCCCCCCGUGUCACCCAGAGCCCGGAGAGACACCGAAACGUUCCCAUUGAGCAUCCGUCAGCGCUCUGCUCCGACCGACACCGCGCGCCUGCGUUUAUCUGGAUGGGGGAGAGGAUUUUCUUUCCCUAAAGGCUCCGUGUGCUUGAGGCUCCGUCUCUUUGCCCCGAACUGCUGGAGCCCGCAGUGGAACUUGCUCUGCACAAGGUCAAUUCCGCCUCCGCGUGGCCAGUUAAGCAACACAAGAUUCCUGCUGGUUCGUUACGUUGGGUCUUCUGCAAGUAAAAACAUCAGCUACAUGAGAACAACCUUCCAGGUGAAGCGUUUAGCAACUCGGGACUGUUUUGCUCUGUUUGUGACACCUCAGGUGAGUGUUUAGAAGGGGCGUUGGAGAGAAGCAAAAUGCUUUCCAGACAUCUCUUAAUCCUCCUGAACUGACUCUACUGUCUUCUCUUUAUGAGUAAUGAAAAAGGCAAAAAGCUGAGGAACUUUUCAGAGCUUCAUUGGUUCACAGAAGGGGGAAGACGAUGGCAGAAGGAUUUUUUGGUAGUCAGUUGUUUACAGCUAUUUUCUGUACACGGAAAAGUUGUAAGAUGUAAAAGGAGAUGACAGUUUUAUAGAUCCAAAUGUACAAAUAAACCUACAGUACAAGUAUUUCAUCAUUA